rnacentral:lncRNA from 1 species
CUUUAUGAUUAAUUUAUUCAUUUAUAUUGUAAAGUAUUAAUAUUUGAUUUUUUAUAUCUAAAACUAUAAAAUAUAAUCUAUUGAUAUCCUUAUAAGUUGUUUUAAAAAAAAAUGACCAUGAAAGAAAGAAAAAAAGAAAAUCACAUUUUAUAUAGACAAAGAUGAGCUAAAGCUAUGCAAAUCAAAACAAAUUGUGAAAAUAGCAUAGAACUACUUUUAUUAGAAACAUGAAACCUAUUAGAUGGAU